ACUCUAUAGUUGCGUGGAUAAUUUUUAAGAGAGCUUCAUUUUUUUAAUAGUUUCUAAAUCAAAAUUCUAAUUUUAUUCUGAUUGUAUUUCGAAUUUCGUAUUCCUUCAUGUUCUCUGAUUUAAGUGAGAAUUCUUUUAUCAAGUUGGAUAUUUAGAUUUUAUUAUUGAGAUUUUACAGGGGAUGAUCUGUAAAUAGAGCUAUGGAAAAUUUGUGGUGGUCCUUCUGUAUAUGAUCCCAAUGAAGAAUUUCAUCACUUUUAUGGAAAUUUUCGAUCUUAGAUAUUUCUUUGUUUAGAUCAUUAAGUUGGAAUUCAUUUGGUAUUCCUUUAGGGUUAUAUUUUAUUAAUUUCAAUGAUUAAACUUAUUCCGGGUUGAUUUAUAGUGAUAGAUUUCGGUUUCUUCAUCUUACAAUUUAAUGUAGUUAGUAGAUCAUCGCCAACCUGCUUAAUCCGGUUGCUCACUACUUCUAGAAGGAUUCUCGGGGGUGACUGAAUAGAAAAGAUGUUCUACAUCACUGUUGUUUCUUCUUUAGCUUUUACAGAGUGAUUUCAAGGUACCAGACAGUCCGACUAACUAAGUUGUGAUUAUGAGCACCAUCAAGACUGGAUAUCACUUUUGCAAUAUGAAGAUCCUUUAAAAUGCUGCGACAAAGAAUCGUUCUUCCAAGUAUGAUUACUGGAUGGGACUGUUUAUAAAGAACCCUGUUAACAAAAAUGAUUGCCUGGGAGAAUAUACCAGUGAGUUAAUACCCCCACAGAGAAACAGACAAACACAAAUUAAUUUAUGACAGCAAAAUAAGCACACCCAGUCUGGUUUAGGUAGCUCAGCAUUUUUAAUCAUCUAUAUAGGGAUCUUCUCAAGUUUCAUUUAUGUGGUAAACAUGUUGCACCUUCAACCCCGCAACAUAUUACCGUUUUACUGCCAUUUCGACACCAACAGUAACUGGAUAUUGAAAGAAAUUGAGAAAGGAGAAAUAAAUCAAUCAAAUCAACCGUUAGCAACUGAAACUGUGAAACCAUAUGUAACAAAAUGUUUUUAUUGCAGUAACUAGAUAUGUUCCUAUAGCUAUUGACUCGAUGCCCUAGGGAAGGAAAUGCGUUACUAGCAUACAUUCCGUGUUUUCUUCUGAACAGGCUACUUGAAACGGAUUUAAUGGUCUAAGGUGAAUAUCAGGAGCUACCGUAGGUGGUCUAAGGUGCCUACAAUUGGUCGUAAAUAUACUGCUGCUUAAUCAGGGAUUUGAUUUUGCUGGAUUGGAAAAGCACGCUCAGCGGAUUUCUCUUACUGGAAGUUUUUGAAAUUUGGAUUGGAGAAGGUCUAUGUAUUAUACUGAGUGUACUCACUACAAUAAAAAUUGUUUUCUCCAAAUACCAAGUAAAAGUGUAAGACCCAUAUUUCAAACUUUAAGACCCAUAUUUCAAAAUUUGCUUUUGCUGAUUAGAAAAUAGAUUUCUACAAGUUAAAUGUGUAUUGUAACACCUGCCGAAACAAAUGUAUAUUUUAACGUCUUACAAUUAAGCAGAUACGUACUUCACUUUUUUCUUUA